AUUGAACGCUGGCGGAAGGCCUAACAAAUGCAAGUCGAGCGGAGCGGCGGACGGGUGAGUAAUGCCUAGGAAUCUGCCUGGUAGUGGGGGAAAACGUCCGGAAAAGGGCGCUAAUACCGCAUACUAUCAGAUGAGCCUAGGUCGGAUUAGCUAGUUGGGUGGGUAAAGGCCUACCAAGGCAAAGAUCCGUAACGGGUCUGAGAGGAUGAUCAGUCACACUGGAACUGAGACACGUUCCAGACUCCUACGGUGGGCAGCAGUGGGGAAUAUUGGACACUGGGCGAAAGCCUGAUCCAGCCAUGCCGAGUGUGUGAAGAAGUUCUUCGGAUGGUAAAGCACUUUAAGUUGGGAGGCGUUACCAACAGAAUAAGCACCGGCUAACUUCGUGCCAGCAGCCGCGGUAAUAC
rnacentral:rRNA from 1 species